AGAGUUUGAUCCUGGCUCAGGACGAACGCUGGCGGCGUGCCUAACACAUGCAAGUCGAACGGAGUUGAAAGGAGCUUGCUUUUUCAACUCAGUGGCGGACGGGUGAGUAACGCGUGAGUAACCUGCCUUUCAGAGGGGGAUAACGUUCUGAAAAGAACGCUAAUACCGCAUAAGAUUGUAGUUUCGCAUGGAGCAGCAAUCAAAGGAGCAAUCCGCUGAAAGAUGGACUCGCGUCCGAUUAGAUAGUUGGCGGGGUAACGGCCCACCAAGUCGACGAUCGGUAGCCGGACUGAGAGGUUGAUCGGCCACAUUGGGACUGAGACACGGCCCAGACUCCUACGGGAGGCAGCA
rnacentral:rRNA from 1 species